rnacentral:rRNA from 1 species
UUCAACGGCCGCGGUAUUUUAACCGUGCGAAGGUAGCGCAAUCACUUGUUUUUUAAAUAAAGACUAGAAUGAACGGCAUCACGAGAACUAAACUGUCUCCCCCAUCUAAUCAGUGAAACUGAUCUCCCCGUGCAGAAGCGGGGAUAAAAUCAUAAGACGAGAAGACCCUGUGGAGCUUAAAAUCAAAAACCAACUGUUAGACUAUUAAAAGGAAACAACAACACAGUAUUGGUCUAGGUUUUCAGCUGGGGCGUCUACGGAGUAAAAACAACCCUCCGCGAAGAAAAAUGCCGAGAGUAACCACUCCAAGCAUUAAUACAUUUUACUUAAAUUGACCCAAUUUUUGAUCAACGGACCAAGUUACCCCAGGGAUAACAGCGCAAUCCACUUCUAGAGUCCCUAUCGACAAGUGGGCUUACGACCUCGAUGUUGGAUCAGGGCACCCAAGUGGUGCAGCCAUUACUAAAGGUUCGUUUGUUCAACGAUUAAAG